ACUCGAGUGGCGAACGGGUGAGUAACACGUGGGUGACCUGCCCUGCACUUCGGGAUAAGCUUGGGAAACUGGGUCUAAUACCGGAUAGGAGCCAUCUUUAGUGUGGUGGUUGGAAAGUUUUUCGGUGUAGGAUGAGCUCGCGGCCUAUCAGCUUGUUGGUGGGGUAAUGGCCUACCAAGGCGGCGACGGGUAGCCGGCCUGAGAGGGUGUACGGCCACAUUGGGACUGAGAUACGGCCCAG
rnacentral:rRNA from 1 species